rnacentral:rRNA from 1 species
CAGUCGCCGCGGGAAUACGUAGGGUGCAAGCGUUAAUCGGAAUUACUGGGCGUAAAGCGUGCGCAGGCGGUCCGCUAAGACAGAUGUGAAAUCCCCGGGCUUAACCUGGGAACUGCAUUUGUGACUGGCGGGCUAGAGUAUGGCAGGGGGGGGUAGAAUUCCACGUGUAGCAGUGAAAUGCGUAGAGAUGUGGAGGAAUACCGAUGGCGAAGGCAGCCCCCUGGGCCAAUACUGACGCUCAUGCACGAAAGCGUGGGGAGCAAACAGGAUUAGAUACCCGCGUAGUCCCUGUCUCUUAUAC